AGCAGGCUCUCCCUGUAACUCACAAUCCAGCCUUCACUUUGGAAACCCUCCUGUUUAAGCCAACUGUUGGGGUUGCUGGAGUGCAGCAUUAUCCCCAGAGCACACUUAAACUUUCCAGCUGCUUGUUGGCAGAUAUGGUCUCCUCUCCAGAAGGAUUGUAGCUGAUCUAAUGAAGUGAAAAUGAGGCUGUGUGAGUGGACCCAAGGUCAAGUGAGUGGAUCCUAAUCCAGUAUGACUGGAGACUAUGAAGGGAAAAGAACACAGAAGAAAGGUCAUCUGAGGACUCAGCAAGAAGUCAGCCCCAGACUCAGAAGCUAGAAAGACUUGGAUCUUGACUUCAGGCUUCUAAGAACCAUGGGAGACAGAAGCAGUUUUCUUCAUGAAUGUCAGAGAUGAGUGGGUGCUGCCAUGGUGGACAACACAAAUGUCAUCUGGGAUGGCUGAACCUCUACCCCCUCAGCACAUCGGUGCAGAUGCCUUUGGCACAGCCCACAUCCACGGGGCUAUACACCAAGAAAAAAAACACAGAAAAUCUUGGAUCUCUUGGAUGCCCUGAUGAAGUCAGCAACUAUACUUUCUCUGGAUGGGUUGAGGCUUUCCCCACCAAGCAGGAAAUAGCUACUAUGGUAGCCAAGAAGAUAUUAGAAGAAAUCUUCCAGAGGUUUGGAGUGCCCAAGGACAACAGUCCUGCUUUUGUUUCUAAGGUA
rnacentral:lncRNA from 1 species